rnacentral:rRNA from 1 species
GACGAACGCUGGCGGCGGGCUUAACACAUGCAAGUCGAACGAAGUGGGGAACGGGUGAGUAAUACGUGGGUAACCUGCCCUGAUGUUUGGGAUAAGCCUUUGAAACGGGGUCUAAUACCGGAUAAAGGGGGAUGGGGUCGCGGCCUAUCAGCUUGGUGGUGGGGGGAUGGACUACCAAGGCGGUGACGGGUAGCCGGCCUGAGAGGGGGCCCGGCCACAUUGGGACUGGGCUACGGCCCACGCGACGACGGGGUGGGGCAGUGUGGGAAAUUGCACAAUGGGCGAAAGACCGAUGCAGCGACGACGCGUGGGGGAUGAAGGCUUUCGGGUUGUAAACCUCUUUCGCUAGCGAACGGUUAGGUGGAGAAGAAGCGCCGGCUAACUCCGUGCCAGCAGCCGCGGUAAUUC